AGAGGUUGAUUUUGGCUCAGGACGAACGCUGGCGGCGCGCCUAACACAUGCAAGUCGAACGAGCGAGAGAGAGCUUGCUUUCUCGAGCGAGUGGCGAACGGGUGAGUAACGCGUGAGGAACCUGCCUCUAAGAGGGGGACAACAGUUGGAAACGACUGCUAAUACCGCAUAAGCCCACGGGUCGGCAUCGACCAGAGGGAAAAGGAGCAAUCCGCUUUGAGAUGGCCUCGCGUCCGAUUAGCUAGUUGGUGAGGUAACGGCCCACCAAGGCAACGAUCGGUAGCCGGACUGAGAGGUUGAACGGCCACAUUGGGACUGAGACACGGCCCAGACUCCUACGGGAGGCAGCAGUGGGGAAUAUUGCACAAUGGGGGAAACCCUGAUGCAGCGACGCCGCGUGGAGGAAGAAGGUCUUCGGAUUGUAACUCCUGUUGUUGAGGAAGAUAAUGACGGUACUCAACAAGGAAGUGACGGCUAACUACGUGCCAGCAGCCGCGGUAAAACGUAGGUCACAAGCGUUGUCCGGAAUUACUGGGUGUAAAGGGAGCGCAGGCGGGAAGACAAGUUGGAAGUGAAAUCCAUGGGCUCAACCCAUGAACUGCUUUCAAAACUGUUUUUCUUGAGUAGUGCAGAGGUAGGCGGAAUUCCCGGUGUAGCGGUGGAAUGCGUAGAUAUCGGGAGGAACACCAGUGGCGAAGGCGGCCUACUGGGCACCAACUGACGCUGAGGCUCGAAAGUGUGGGUAGCAAACAGGAUUAGAUACCCUGGUAGUCCACACCGUAAACGAUGAUUACUAGGUGUUGGAGGAUUGACCCCCUCAGUGCCGCAGUUAACACAAUAAGUAAUCCACCUGGGGAGUACGACCGCAAGGUUGAAACUCAAAGGAAUUGACGGGGGCCCGCACAAGCAGUGGAGUAUGUGGUUUAAUUCGACGCAACGCGAAGAACCUUACCAAGUCUUGACAUCCUGCGACGAUGCUGGAAACAGUAUUUUCCUUCGGGACGCAGAGACAGGUGGUGCAUGGUUGUCGUCAGCUCGUGUCGUGAGAUGUUGGGUUAAGUCCCGCAACGAGCGCAACCCUUAUGGUCAGUUACUACGCAAGAGGACUCUGGCCAGACUGCCGUUGACAAAACGGAGGAAGGUGGGGAGGACGUCAAAUCAUCAUGCCCCUUAUGACUUGGGCUACACACGUACUACAAUGGCGUUAAACAAAGAGAAGCAAGACCGCGAGGUGGAGCAAAACUCAGAAACAACGUCCCAGUUCGGACUGCAGGCUGCAACUCGCCUGCACGAAGUCGGAAUUGCUAGUAAUCGUGGAUCAGCAUGCCACGGUGAUUACGUUCCCGGGCCUUGCACA
rnacentral:rRNA from 1 species